rnacentral:rRNA from 1 species
GGGUUGUGAGGUUAAGCGACUAAGCGUACACGGUGGAUGCCCUGGCAGUCAGAGGCGAUGAAGGACGUGCUAAUCUGCGAAAAGCGUCGGUAAGGUGAUAUGAACCGUUACAGCCGGCGAUGUCCGAAUGGGGAAACCCAGUGUGAUUCGUCACACUAUCGUUAACUGAAUACAUAGGUUAACGAGGCGAACCGGGGGAACUGAAACAUCUAAGUACCCCGAGGAAAAGAAAUCAACCGAGAUUCCCCCAGUAGCGGCGAGCGAACGGGGAGCAGCCCAGAGUCUGAAUCAGCUUGUGUGUUAGUGGAACGGUCUGGAAAGUCCGACGGUACAGGGUGAUAGUCCCGUACACCAAAAUGCACAGGCUGUGAACUCGAAGAGUAGGGCGGGACACGUGGUAUCCUGUCUGAAUAUGGGGGGACCAUCCUCCAAGGCUAAAUACUCCUGACUGACCGAUAGUGAACCAGUACCGUGAGGGAAAGGCGAAAAGAACCCCGGCGAGGGGAGUGAAAAAGAACCUGAAACCGUGUACGUACAAGCAGUGGGAGCACCUUCGGGUGUGACUGCGUACCUUUUGUAUAAUGGGUCAGCGACUUAUAUUCUGUAGCAAGGUUAACCGUAUAGGGGAGCCGCAGGGAAACCGAGUCUUAACUGGGCGUUAAGUUGCAGGGUAUAGACCCGAAACCCGGUGAUCUAGCCAUGGGCAGGUUGAAGGUUGGGUAACACUAACUGGAGGACCGAACCGACUAAUGUUGAAAAAUUAGCGGAUGACUUGUGGCUGGGGGUGAAAGGCCAAUCAAACCGGGAGAUAGCUGGUUCUCCCCGAAAGCUAUUUAGGUAGCGCCUCGUGAAUUCAUCUUCGGGGGUAGAGCACUGUUUCGGCUAGGGGGGCAUCCCGACUUACCAACCCGAUGCAAACUACGAAUACCGAAGAAUGUUAUCACGGGAGACACACGGCGGGUGCUAACGUCCGUCGUGAAGAGGGAAACAACCCAGACCGCCAGCUAAGGUCCCAAAGUCAUGGUUAAGUGGGAAACGAUGUGGGAAGGCACAGACAGCCAGGAUGUUGGCUUAGAAGCAGCCAUCAUUUAAAGAAAGCGUAAUAGCUCACUGGUCGAGUCGGCCUGCGCGGAAGAUGUAACGGGGCUAAACCAUGCACCGAAGCUGCGGCAGCGACACUAUGUGUUGUUGGGUAGGGGAGCGUUCUGUAAGCCUGCGAAGGUGACCUGUGAGGGUUGCUGGAGGUAUCAGAAGUGCGAAUGCUGACAUAAGUAACGAUAAAGCGGGUGAAAAGCCCGCUCGCCGGAAGACCAAGGGUUCCUGUCCAACGUUAAUCGGGGCAGGGUGAGUCGACCCCUAAGGCGAGGCCGAAAGGCGUAGUCGAUGGGAAACAGGUUAAUAUUCCUGUACUUGGUGUUACUGCGAAGGGGGGACGGAGAAGGCUAUGUUAGCCGGGCGACGGUUGUCCCGGUUUAAGCAUGUAGGCUGGUUAUCCAGGCAAAUCCGGAUAAUCAAGGCUGAGGUGUGAUGACGAGGCACUACGGUGCUGAAGUAACAAAUGCCCUGCUUCCAGGAAAAGCCUCUAAGCAUCAGGUAACAUCAAAUCGUACCCCAAACCGACACAGGUGGUCAGGUAGAGAAUACCAAGGCGCUUGAGAGAACUCGGGUGAAGGAACUAGGCAAAAUGGUGCCGUAACUUCGGGAGAAGGCACGCUGGUGUGUAGGUGAAGUCCCUGCGGAUGGAGCUGAGACCAGUCGAAGAUACCAGCUGGCUGCAACUGUUUAUUAAAAACACAGCACUGUGCAAACACGAAAGUGGACGUAUACGGUGUGACGCCUGCCCGGUGCCGGAAGGUUAAUUGAUGGGGUUAUCCGUAAGGAGAAGCUCUUGAUCGAAGCCCCGGUAAACGGCGGCCGUAACUAUAACGGUCCUAAGGUAGCGAAAUUCCUUGUCGGGUAAGUUCCGACCUGCACGAAUGGCGUAAUGAUGGCCAGGCUGUCUCCACCCGAGACUCAGUGAAAUUGAACUCGCUGUGAAGAUGCAGUGUACCCGCGGCAAGACGGAAAGACCCCGUGAACCUUUACUAUAGCUUGACACUGAACAUUGAGCCUUGAUGUGUAGGAUAGGUGGGAGGCUUUGAAGCGUGGACGCCAGUCUGCGUGGAGCCAACCUUGAAAUACCACCCUUUAAUGUUUGAUGUUCUAACGUUGGCCCCUUACCGGGGUUGCGGACAGUGUCUGGUGGGUAGUUUGACUGGGGCGGUCUCCUCCCAAAGCGUAACGGAGGAGCACGAAGGUUAGCUAAUCCUGGUCGGACAUCAGGAGGUUAGUGCAAUGGCAUAAGCUAGCUUGACUGCGAGCGUGACGGCGCGAGCAGGUGCGAAAGCAGGUCAUAGUGAUCCGGUGGUUCUGAAUGGAAGGGCCAUCGCUCAACGGAUAAAAGGUACUCCGGGGAUAACAGGCUGAUACCGCCCAAGAGUUCAUAUCGACGGCGGUGUUUGGCACCUCGAUGUCGGCUCAUCACAUCCUGGGGCUGAAGUAGGUCCCAAGGGUAUGGCUGUUCGCCAUUUAAAGUGGUACGCGAGCUGGGUUUAGAACGUCGUGAGACAGUUCGGUCCCUAUCUGCCGUGGGCGCUGGAGAAUUGAGGGGGGCUGCUCCUAGUACGAGAGGACCGGAGUGGACGCAUCACUGGUGUUCGGGUUGUCAUGCCAAUGGCACUGCCCGGUAGCUAAAUGCGGAAGAGAUAAGUGCUGAAAGCAUCUAAGCACGAAACUUGCCCCGAGAUGAGUUCUCCCUGAGACUUUAAGUCUCCUGAAGGAACGUUAAAGACGAUGACGUUGAUAGGCCGGGUGUGUAAGCGCAGCGAUGCGUUGAGCUAACCGGUACUAAUGAACCGUGAGGCUUAACCUUACAACGCCGAAG